UACGAAGGGGGCUAGCGUUGCUCGGAAUCACUGGGCGUAAAGGGUGCGUAGGCGGGUCUUUAAGUCAGGGGUGAAAUCCUGGAGCUCAACUCCAGAACUGCCUUUGAUACUGGAGAUCUUGAGUUCGGGAGAGGUGAGUGGAACUACGAGUGUAGAGGUGAAAUUCGUAGAUAUUCGCAAGAACACCAGUGGCGAAGGCGGCUCACUGGCCCGAUACUGACGCUGAGGUGCGAAAGCGUGGGGAGCAAACAGG
rnacentral:rRNA from 1 species